rnacentral:rRNA from 1 species
UACGGAGGGUGCAAGCGUUGUUCGGAUUUAUUGGGCGUAAAGCGCGUGUAGGCGGUUUCUUAAGUCUGAUGUGAAAGCCCUGGGCUCAACCCAGGAAGUGCAUUGGAUACUGGGAGACUUGAAUACGGGAGAGGGUAGUGGAAUUCCUAGUGUAGGAGUGAAAUCCGUAGAUAUUAGGAGGAACACCGGUGGCGAAGGCAGCUACCUGGACCGAUAUUGACGCUGAGACGCGAAAGCGUGGGGAGCAAACAGG